GUGGUAAUGCCGGAUGCUCCGGUUGGAUGCAUGUCCUUCCGGGAAAGGUUCCAUCGGUAUGGGAUGGGGUCGCGUCCUAUCAGCUUGAUGGCGGGGUAACGGCCCACCAUGGCUUCGACGGGUAGCCGGCCUGAGAGGGCGACCGGCCACAUUGGGACUGAGAUACGGCCCAGACUCCUACGGGAGGCAGCAGUGGGGAAUAUUGCACAAUGGGCGCAAGCCUGAUGCAGCGACGCCGCGUGCGGGAUGGAGGCCUUCGGGUUGUAAACCGCUUUUGAUCGGGAGCAAGCCCUUCGGGGUGAGUGUACCUUUCGAAUAAGCACCGGCUAACUACGUGCCAGCAGCCGCGGUAAUACGUAGGGUGCAAGCGUUAUCCGGAAUUAUUGGGCGUAAAGGGCUCGUAGGCGGUUCGUCGCGUCCGGUGUGAAAGCCCAUCGCUUAACGGUGGGUCUGCGCCGGGUACGGGCGGGCUGGAGUGCGGUAGGGGAGACUGGAAUUCCCGGUGUAACGGUGGAAUGUGUAGAUAUCG
rnacentral:rRNA from 1 species